rnacentral:rRNA from 1 species
GGGUUGUGAGGUUAAGCGACUAAGCGUACACGGUGGAUGCCCUGGCAGUCAGAGGCGAUGAAGGGCGUGCUAAUCUGCGAUAAGCGCCGGUAAGGUGAUAUGAACCGUUAUAACCGGCGAUACCCGAAUGGGGAAACCCAGUGUGACUCGUCACACUAUCAUUAACUGAAUCCAUAGGUUAAUGAGGCGAACCGGGGGAACUGAAACAUCUAAGUACCCCGAGGAAAAGAAAUCAACCGAGAUUCCCCCAGUAGCGGCGAGCGAACGGGGAGGAGCCCAGAGCCUGAAUCAGCAUGUGUGUUAGUGGAAGCGUCUGGAAAGGCGCGCGAUACAGGGUGACAGCCCCGUACACAAAAGCGCAUGUGCUGUGAGCUCGAUGAGUAGGGCGGGACACGUGGUAUCCUGUCUGAAUAUGGGGGGACCAUCCUCCAAGGCUAAAUACUCCUGACUGACCGAUAGUGAACCAGUACCGUGAGGGAAAGGCGAAAAGAACCCCGGCGAGGGGAGUGAAAAAGAACCUGAAACCGUGUACGUACAAGCAGUGGGAGCACCCUUUGGGUGUGACUGCGUACCUUUUGUAUAAUGGGUCAGCGACUUAUAUUCUGUAGCAAGGUUAACCGAAUAGGGGAGCCGGAGGGAAACCGAGUCUUAACCGGGCGUUAAGUUGCAGGGUAUAGACCCGAAACCCGGUGAUCUAGCCAUGGGCAGGUUGAAGGUUGGGUAACACUAACUGGAGGACCGAACCGACUAAUGUUGAAAAAUUAGCGGAUGACCUGUGGCUGGGGGUGAAAGGCCAAUCAAACCGGGAGAUAGCUGGUUCUCCCCGAAAGCUAUUUAGGUAGCGCCUCGUGAAUUCAUCUCCGGGGGUAGAGCACUGUUUCGGCUAGGGGGCCAUCCCGGCUUACCAACCCGAUGCAAACUGCGAAUACCGGAGAAUGUUAUCACGGGAGACACACGGCGGGUGCUAACGUCCGUCGUGAAGAGGGAAACAACCCAGACCGCCAGCUAAGGUCCCAAAGUCAUGGUUAAGUGGGAAACGAUGUGGGAAGGCCCAGACAGCCAGGAUGUUGGCUUAGAAGCAGCCAUCAUUUAAAGAAAGCGUAAUAGCUCACUGGUCGAGUCGGCCUGCGCGGAAGAUGUAACGGGGCUAAACCAUGCACCGAAGCUGCGGCAGCGACACUGUGUGUUGUUGGGUAGGGGAGCGUUCUGUAAGCCUGUGAAGGUGUGUCGUGAGGCAUGCUGGAGGUAUCAGAAGUGCGAAUGCUGACAUAAGUAACGAUAAAGCGGGUGAAAAGCCCGCUCGCCGGAAGACCAAGGGUUCCUGUCCAACGUUAAUCGGGGCAGGGUGAGUCGACCCCUAAGGCGAGGCCGAAAGGCGUAGUCGAUGGGAAACGGGUUAAUAUUCCCGUACUUGGUGUUACUGCGAAGGGGGGACGGAGAAGGCUAUGUUGGCCGGGCGACGGUUGUCCCGGUUUAAGCGUGUAGGUGUGUGUUCCAGGUAAAUCCGGUUCACUUUAACACUGAGGCGUGACGACGAGGCACUACGGUGCUGAAGCAACAAAUGCCCUGCUUCCAGGAAAAGCCUCUAAGCAUCAGGUAACAUCAAAUCGUACCCCAAACCGACACAGGUGGUCAGGUAGAGAAUACCAAGGCGCUUGAGAGAACUCGGGUGAAGGAACUAGGCAAAAUGGUGCCGUAACUUCGGGAGAAGGCACGCUGACACGUAGGUGAAGUGAUUUACUCAUGGAGCUGAAGUCAGUCGAAGAUACCAGCUGGCUGCAACUGUUUAUUAAAAACACAGCACUGUGCAAACACGAAAGUGGACGUAUACGGUGUGACGCCUGCCCGGUGCCGGAAGGUUAAUUGAUGGGGUCAGCGCAAGCGAAGCUCCUGAUCGAAGCCCCGGUAAACGGCGGCCGUAACUAUAACGGUCCUAAGGUAGCGAAAUUCCUUGUCGGGUAAGUUCCGACCUGCACGAAUGGCGUAAUGAUGGCCAGGCUGUCUCCACCCGAGACUCAGUGAAAUUGAACUCGCUGUGAAGAUGCAGUGUACCCGCGGCAAGACGGAAAGACCCCGUGAACCUUUACUAUAGCUUGACACUGAACAUUGAGCCUUGAUGUGUAGGAUAGGUGGGAGGCUUUGAAGUGUGGACGCCAGUCUGCAUGGAGCCGACCUUGAAAUACCACCCUUUAAUGUUUGAUGUUCUAACGUGGACCCGUUACCCGGGUUGCGGACAGUGUCUGGUGGGUAGUUUGACUGGGGCGGUCUCCUCCUAAAGAGUAACGGAGGAGCACGAAGGUUGGCUAAUCCUGGUCGGACAUCAGGAGGUUAGUGCAAUGGCAUAAGCCAGCUUGACUGCGAGCGUGACGGCGCGAGCAGGUGCGAAAGCAGGUCAUAGUGAUCCGGUGGUUCUGAAUGGAAGGGCCAUCGCUCAACGGAUAAAAGGUACUCCGGGGAUAACAGGCUGAUACCGCCCAAGAGUUCAUAUCGACGGCGGUGUUUGGCACCUCGAUGUCGGCUCAUCACAUCCUGGGGCUGAAGUAGGUCCCAAGGGUAUGGCUGUUCGCCAUUUAAAGUGGUACGCGAGCUGGGUUUAGAACGUCGUGAGACAGUUCGGUCCCUAUCUGCCGUGGGCGCUGGAGAACUGAGGGGGGCUGCUCCUAGUACGAGAGGACCGGAGUGGACGCAUCACUGGUGUUCGGGUUGUCAUGCCAAUGGCACUGCCCGGUAGCUAAAUGCGGAAGAGAUAAGUGCUGAAAGCAUCUAAGCACGAAACUUGCCCCGAGAUGAGUUCUCCCUGAGACUUUAGGUCUCCUGAAGGAACGUUGAAGACGACGACGUUGAUAGGCCGGGUGUGUAAGCGCAGCGAUGCGUUGAGCUAACCGGUACUAAUGAACCGUGAGGCUUAACCUUACAACGCCGAAG